UACGUAGGGGGCAAGCGUUAUCCGGAUUUACUGGGUGUAAAGGGAGCGUAGACGGCUCUGCAAGUCUGAAGUGAAAGCCCGGGGCUCAACCCCGGGACUGCUUUGGAAACUGUGGAGCUAGAGUGCAGGAGAGGUAAGUGGAAUUCCUAGUGUAGCGGUGAAAUGCGUAGAUAUUAGGAGGAACACCAGUGGCGAAGGCGGCUUACUGGACUGUAACUGACGUUGAGGCUCGAAAGCGUGGGGAGCAAACAGG
rnacentral:rRNA from 1 species